rnacentral:rRNA from 2 species
UACGUAGGUGGCAAGCGUUGUCCGGAUUUAUUGGGUUUAAAGGGUGCGUAGGUGGUUUUAUAAGUCAGUGGUGAAAGCUGGUUGCUCAACAAUCAAGUUGCCAUUGAUACUGUUAGACUUGAGAGAAGUGGAGGUUCAUGGAAUGGAUGGUGUAGCGGUGAAAUGCAUAGAUAUCAUCCAGAACGUCGAUUGCGAAGGCAGUGGGCUGUACUUUUUCUGACACUGAGGCACGAAAGCGUGGGGAUCAAACAGG